GUGGUCGCAAGACUAAAGGCGCAAGCCGCUUUCUGAUUGGUCCGCGGCCUAUCAGCUAGUUGGUGAGGUAAUGGCUCACCAAGGCUAAGACGGGUAGCUGGUCUGAGAGGACGACCAGUCACACUGGAACUGAGACACGGUCCAGACACCUACGGGCGGCAGCAGUCGAGAAUCUUUCACAAUGGGGGCAACCCUGAUGGAGCGACGCCGCGUGGAGGAUAAGGUCUUCGGAUUGUAAACUCCUGUCAUGCGAGAGCAAGACAUGGCAACAUGUUUGAUAGUAUCGCAAGAGGAAGAGACGGCUAACUCUGUGCCAGCAGCCGCGGUAAUACAGAGGUCUCAAGCGUUGUUCGGAAUCACUGGGCGUAAAGGGUGCGUAGGCGGCGGAGAAAGUCUGGUGUGAAAUUUGCGAGCUCAACUCGCAACUAGCACCUGAUACUACUUUGCUAGAGACCUGGAGAGGAGCUUGGAAUUCUCGGUGUAGCAGUGAAAUGCGUAGAUCUCGAGAGGAACACUCGCUGCGAAAGCGAAGCUCUGGCCAGCGUCUGACGCUGAGGCACGAAGGCUAGGGGAGCGAACGGGAUUAGAUACCCCGGUAGUCCUAGCUGUAAACGGUGCAUGUUUGGUGUUGGGGAGUUAGACCUCCUCAGUGCCGUAGCUAACGCGUUAAACAUGCCGCCUGGGAAGUACGAUCGCAAGAUUAAAACUCAAAGAAAUUGACGGGGACCCGCACAAGCGGUGGAGUAUGUGGCUUAAUUCGAUGCAACGCGAAGAACCUUACCUGGAUUUGACAUGCAUUGUGUCUCCGGUGAAAGCCGGAUAUUGUUGAAAUAUACAAGCUUUGCACAGGUGCUGCAUGGCUGUCGUCAGCUCGUGUCGUGAGAUGUUGGGUUAAGUCCCGCAACGAGCGCAACCCUCGUGGUUUGUUGCCACCGGAUUUAUUUCCGAGCACUCAAACCAUACUGCCCAGAUUAACUGGGAGAAGGCGAGGAUGACGUCAAGUCAGUAUGGCCCUUACGUCCAGGGCUGCACACGUACUACAAUGCCCAACACAAAUAGAUCCUAGACUGCAAAGUGGAGGAAAUCUCAAAAAAUUGGGCUCAGUUCAGAUUGCAGGCUGCAACUCGCCUGCAUGAAGUAGGAAUCGCUAGUAAUGAUGCAUCAGCUACGGCAUCGUGAAUACGUUCCCGGGUCUUGUACACACCGCCCGUCACAUCAUGGAAAUUGGUAUCGCCCUAAGCGCUUGGUUUUAGUAUCGAGCUCUAAGGUGAUACUGGUAACUAGGAUGAAGUCGUAACAAGGUA
rnacentral:rRNA from 1 species